rnacentral:lncRNA from 1 species
UUCCAGGUGAACAAGAGGGAACAAGUUUCUGGAUGAGAGGGAAAAGCCAGGGCAAGGAUUUGGAAGGAUGACACACCCACUGACCCAUAGGUCAGUCUACAUGAAUGGAUUUGCAGAUUAUGUUCUGAGAGCAACCUUUGAAAGGAGAAGGCUGCAUGGUCAUGCAGAGGCAAUACAAGAAGCAGACACAGAGGGAGACACAAAGGGAGGAGAAGGAGUUGGGACAAAAGGCUGGGAGGGAAAGCUGAUGGCCAAUUGUGUCCACACCACGACCUCCCUUCAGGCAACAUUAUUUGGUAAAUCUCUGCACACAGAAUAAGAUGAGAACUUCUGUUCCCCCAGGGAAUAUGCUGUUUGCUCAGGCCCAGUAACUUAAGUGGCUAUUUGCUCUGCUGGCUUAGGCCUCUGGUUCAUUUGCUAGAACAACGAUAGCAGUGGCAGAAAACUCAUUUUUCUGAGAAGUUUGGUCCAAGUGAGUGCUGUUCCACAGAUACAACUUUUCAAUCUUGCUAUCUUGCCACCAUUUUCACUCCUGGAUAUUUAUUUCAUAUUUAUUUUCACUCCUGGAUAUUUUCAACACACAUGUGUCCUGUGAGCAAGCUAACAUGCGCGACUCUAUUUUAAAUUUCUAAUGUGUGCCUCCAUGCACAAUUUUAGUCUUUCAGCUAGGCUCACUAUUUCUGUUGACAUCCAAUUGUAUCUCUGACUUAGUCUGAAGAAAUUAAGCAUAUCUCUUUCAUCUCAAUGCAAACAAUGGUUUGUAUUCUCUUUCACAUGACUUGAAAAUUCUGUACACCAAAAGGCUCGCUGGGCUUUUGUAAAAGCAAUGCACAAUGAUUGUUUUGAAAGAAUAAGCCUUUCUGAAAAUUCCUACAGAGUAUGCUAAGGCUACAAAGUUCAAAGGAAUUUGGUCAGAUUCAAUGGAAUAGCCUCUUGGUUCAAGUGAAGGACUUGGAGGGAGGAAUAAAACAAAUCCACCUUCUUUUUAAAUAGAAAUGAAAAGAGAGCUAAGCAGAAACGUCAACAGGAAGGAAGCUGAAAUACAAUAAAUGGGAGUGGCCACUGCUGAACACAAGUUAGAGAAACAUUUUAAUAAAACACACAAGGCUAAUUUCAGUCACUCAGAUACUUCACAUCAGAUCAGGGAAAAUAAAGAUCUAAGUCUUUACCGCUAAUUCUUAGGAAAUGAAGAUCCCAUCCCAUGAAAAAAAAAAAAUUGGUAUAGAAAAUUUCCACUGUUUUUCUUCUCAUUCUUUGAAUCAAUUCCUGAUGAUUUUGACAGCAGUUUAAAAAAAUGUUAAUUCCAUGCUCUCAAUGGAAACUUUUCCAAAACAGUAUUCAAAAUAUCUGAAGUAGUUACGAAAAUAAAAAUAAAACCCCCAACCAAGCAAACAGCAAUAACAAUACUGCUGUAAUUAAUCAGCACAAAAGGCUUCCCCAUGCCCAGAAGUCCUGGCAGGGAUGUGGGUUGCUGCUCAUGAGAGUGACACCUAUGUGAUGACAGCUGUGACUUGCAGGGUGUCUGAGACUCCAAAUACAAAACCAAACAGGAGUCCUCGGGAAAUUCUCCCUUUUGCUCACUCUGUGUAUAUUCAAACACAAACUAUUUUCAAAAAAUUCCCUAAAACCCCUCUGAGUGGGAUGGAAGGGACUAGGCAAGCAUAUUGCACUGUAAUUAACACCCGUUCACCACUGACAUCACACGUCAGUGUAAAGAUAGGUCACGUACUUUUAAUUUCUCACACGCACGUCAGCGGUAAACAGUCCCAGUGUUCGUGUUAAUGACACCAUCUGGCGCCUCCCAUAACUGUGUAGCAUUCAGCUUCCAAACAAGAUGUAAUGGCAGCAACACAUGAAACCCACUGACAUUUACAGUAAGGAAAUUUAUUAUCAGUCAUCGGUUUGGUAUAAAUGUGUUUGCAUGACUGCUGGGGCUAUAAAAUCGUCACCUUUGCCAGGCAAGCAAAGGUGCAAUAAAUAAUGGAUUUUAAGCCAUGCAUGUACUACCAAAUCAUUAAACAUUUAUCAAACAGGCACAAUAGCAUCUUAAGCAACAGUUACCACUUGAAAAAUUAAUGCCACUUUUGAGGGUUAAAUGAAAACCAUAUAGUCUAAGCCUUAAUGAUUUUUAAUGUGGUUCAGUACAGAAUAUGAAGUUUUUUUAUUUUUAUUUUUAGUUGAAUAUGAUAUAUAUAUAUAUAAAUAGGUCUUCUAUAAUAAUUUCCUCUUGAGGAAGAAUCACUCUAUGUUCUUUGGUUAAAUACUAAAAAAUACAAUUGAAAUGUUUCUUGAAAAAGAAAUCAUGGUUAAAACCUUUCAAAACUAGAAAUGGCAAACAAAAGGGUCUUUAGGAGUCACGUGGUAUUAUUUUCUUUAAAAUCCUUAAUGGAUUAGUCAGUGAUGAUUGCAAUUAAACUAUUUUAACUUUGGAUUUAAGGAAACAUAAAGUCAAAACCAACAAAAUCCCCUGAGUAUCCCAGCCAUGUUUGUCCCUACUACUUAUUCCUUCCAAAUACUCUCCCCAUGGCAUGCCAGUGAUUUCUCCAAUAUGCUUGUUCUAUGGGUAUCCGUUGUUUUAAGAACAAAAUCCUUAGCAAUAACAAUUCAAAAUACAGAUAGAUUAGAGGAAGGUUUCGUGGAGGAUUAGAGGAAGGCUUUAUGGAGGACUUAUCAAAGAAUAAUUUUUGACUCAAAGAAACAAAGAGAAACCUGCGUGGGAACUAAUUAUUUAUUUGCUUGCUGGACAUGGAACAAUGAAGGCAGAGAAGCCAGUGGCUGCUUUGACAUGAGGCUUCCCGUGUGGGAGGUGAACCAGAAGCCAAGCCUGGACGGAGACUGUGCCAUCAAGAGGCUCUGUCACGAGAUGCCAAGAUGAGCACGCGUCUCCAAAACAACACAAUCUCAACAUGCAAAAUGAUCACCAAGCAAGAGGAAACAGAGUGAGCCCUAGAGGUGAGGAAGUUGCCUGAAUUCCAUCUGUGUGCCCACAUACACAAAGCUCUGUUACACAAAGGAGCUACUCCAGCGACUAACUUAAGUGGGAUUAUGUGGAAACGAACACAAUCCACUGGGAUGGUGGUACUGUUAUGGAACAACACAGAUUGCCUGAGCCUGGAUAUCAAAACAAAAGCACCGAGUAUGGGAAUUUUUCUCAAACAGCUUCUCUGUCCAGUAUCCUGAGAGGGCCCCACACUGCCCUGUCCUUCCAUCUGUCACUAAUUAAUUCAAAUAUUUCCUAGGGUUCUAGCUGCUACCUUACAUCUUCUGGAAGUGACUAUCAGGGCCCUCACAGAGGUAAAGAAUCAAUGAAUAACUCCAAGAAGCCUUUGCUCAUUUCUUUCAAAGUUGUGUCGCUUCCAUAAUACCUGAUGAAACACUCUGCCUUCAUAUGAGGGGGCGGGGAGGGGGUGGAGAGAGAGAGAGAGAGAGAUUGCACACCAUGGCGAAAACAGCUCUCCUGAAGGGUGUGAAAAAACAGUUAACAACGAAGGGGAGAGAAACAAAAAGCUAUUCAACAGAUGCAUGUCAUUUUUACUCUUCAGUGUGGAUCAGUUUUUCUUGUUAAUUAUAUCACCUAUUCUUUCCUUAUAUUGAUAAUUACAUAAUUACAUGAAACAGAUGGGUGACAGAAUGCACCCAGAUGGUGAGAACGUAAACAGGCUUACAAAUUGCUUAUUCUUGAGCAUAUUAAAAAGAAUUAUUUAAUAAUACAUAGAUUUCUAUACUCUACACAUCUGUUGAGUAGAGCCUUCAAAAUGGGUUACUUUGUCAUUUUUUUUUUUUUCUUAAACAGAUACAGUGUCCUCCCUGGGAAUUCCUGGGAGGCCAACUGCCAUGGAGGUAAAAUAUUUCACCUUUUCCAAAAUUUGGAUUCCUGAAAUUCUAAAUUCAUGUUCUGAGCCCACUGGCUUGCUUUUCCCCUCCCGUUUUGAGAAAUAGCAACGGUGGUUUCAAGGGGAGUUACAAUCACAUGUAGCACUGGUUAUACUUUCACAAGCUGGACAAGGUUAAAAAUGGGAGGGUUUGCCUUGAGAACAUAUUUGACAUGUUUUAAUUGCAUCUGAUGGGCUUCUUGCAUGAAAUUCUUUCAAAAUAAUUAUGAAACUAAGUCAAAAGCACCAAAGCUGCACGGGCUGAGUGUGUGUGGAGGCGUGUCUUUCAGAGGAGGGGCUCACAGGCAGCAGAGCCUUCUGGAGGGUCUGAGGGAAGAAGUGGCAUUAGCUGCUUCCUUGUGGCCCACAUGCCACCUCUGUGUUCUAUGGAGUCAGGGCUCUGCUUAAAUGAUCCUGAUCAGAGGAGUUGUACCUGCCCUGUUCCCACCCUCCCCUCCCGGGCUCUCCUCCUGAUGGCACUUGCUGCCACCGGACACGGUGCCUCCUGGUCUGUUUGUGUACUGUCUGCUGCUCCAACUAGAACACAAGUGCUAUGUGGCAGGGAUGUGCCUAUUUAUGGCUGUCCCCACAGAGCACAGAGCUGGGCCCACCACAUGAUCAGUACACAACAAUACUGACUGAAUGAAUGACAUCAAUUAACUCUCCACCACCAAGCCUCCUAACCAGCGAAGCAGAACAGGCCCUGUGCUUGCGGUUUCAACAGAAAAGCCUAUCCAGGCAGGAGCAGGGAGUGACCAACAAGGGGACUUCUCAGUGGCAGGUGGGGGUGGAGGAUAGCAGGGGUUCCUCUCUCAGUUGAAAAGCAGGUACAAAAGCCAUGGUGUUUAUCGGGCUCAUGGACAAAAAGCAGGACACCUAGAAACAUGGUUUGGUGGGGGUAGAGAAACAGGCUCAGGGAGAGACAAACCCACCUGGCUUCUGGUGCACACCUGGCUCUUGGUGAGGCAGGGGUGGGUCACAGAACUCCAGAAUCAGGCUGUUGUCUCCCACCGCACCAGGAAGUGACGACAUGUAGACGUGCUUGGAAUUGGAAGUUUAAGCACUUCCCCGGGGCCAAACUUGGAUGAGGAUUGUGUGUACUCUGUGUGUAUGUAUUUACGUAUGCCUGGUGUGUGUGUGAGAGAGAUGGCUGGAGGGAGAGAGGGACAGAGAGAGAGAGUCAUGAGAAGCAUCUGAGUCCUCAGGGGCCUGGAGAUCGUUUUGGAAUUUGGGCUCUGUGAACUAUGGCCGCCUUCCGCUCUUGAAUGGGGUGGUGGAAGUACUGAGCUGUUAGAAGUCACAUGGUCUGAAAGGGGCCUGCCAGCCUCGGUCCUACCAACACACGGUGACCAAAGACCCAGUGUGUGGGGAUCGAUGUUGUCUGCAAACAAAUCAAAAGACUUGUGAUAUAUAAUUCUAUGGGACAUUGUCAGCCCAUCUUUGGGACCUGCUCAACUGUGAUUUGUGACAGAUAAUACUCAAAUCCAUUUUUUAAAUCAACCGUCAACUCCAGUUUCAUGAAAAGUGCUGUCCCCACAGAUCCGUGAAGGGCGGUGGGAGGGGUGGUUUGCAUGAGAGAGGAGCUCUGCUAAGGUGACUGGAAAGUGCUGCCUGAGACCUGUUCCCUGGAAGCACAGCUCUUUUUGGUUAAAUACAUAAACUACCAUAAAAACCACAAUUACAGUGACUACCAUGGUGAUAAUUUCAAUGCACUGAAUUAUAUGAAAAAAUAAAACAAACAAAACCUGGGACACAAUUGAACAGCACAAGAAGUAGGAAUGUGGCACAGUCUGUAAUUUAUGUUUAUUGCCAUGGGUUUCGACGGACCAAAUGGCUCAUGCCUGCCUGCACUGUAGCUGAGUCAUGUUUGAUAUCUCAAAGUGGCAGUAAAAAAAAUCUUUAUGGCUCCCAUGCUAUUUUCAUACCUUAUUUAUUCUGUUUUUUUCCCCUGUUUUUAAGUCAUCUUUUGUAUUUUCUUCUUGCUUAUUAAGUUGGUUACUAUGGAGAUCAUGACAUCAGUCAUCUUGACUAAGCUUAAUGGUCUUGAGGCAACAUUCAGACUAAAAGUUUUGAUACUUAAAGUGGCUCAACCCUGGAGAAUGAGAGCAGAUUGAGAACUGAGGACUGUGGGCUUCAAGCUGCUUCUCUAAUGGAACACAGAGGUGAAAGGCAGUCCCUGCCCACUCGACCAAGGCCACGUGGGGCAGCCCUUUGGGAGGACCGCGCCCCCGGCUAACCAGGCAGAUAACGGGUUGCAAGAAGGUUUUUUGAGUCUGAAAAGCCUGACUGUUAUGCAUCAAAAGUCAAAGUUGAUGCUUCCAAUGACAGAUGCAGAAGAACACAUGGGGACAGCGAGCCCACUGUCUGAGGACCAGGAGGAGGAAAGCCAGAGGGGAAGAAGGAGAAAUCAGUGCAGCGCAGCCCUCUCCUUCCUCUGGCUAAGGCCAGGAAAGUGGAAGGAAGGGGGCAGGAUCCCUACAAAGAUUUUGGAGAAUACAGGAAGGAGACUGCCUCACAAGGGAGACUCUACUGCCACCUUGUCCUGGGAAGAGUCCAGUGGAGAUGGCUGAGGGAACUUCCUGGAUGAGGAAGGAAAUGAGGCAGCAAUGAGCUUCUGAAAGCCCAAAGCAAGGAAAGCGGAGAGGAAGAGAGCACGUAGCUCCAGGGAACACAAGGCCACACUCAGACUGGCCUCAAGGCUGUGAGGAUGGGAUUCUUCUGCAGCAAGCAGUGAGGGCUGCGGGGGCCUGGAUGCCAGGACAAGGGGUGACUUUGCCUGAGGACAAAAGCUGAUGUUCUGAACUCAGGAUUCCUGUGAGGACAGGCACUACCCAAGCAGCAGGUACCUCCCCUCCCAGCCUCCUCCCCGCCUGCCACGAUGCCAUGACAUUCCAUGUCCAUGAGCUCCUGAGAACUUGGAUGUCUUUCCUACCUGCCUAAAAACAUGAAAGAAGAAAUCUCCCAAAUGGACUCAAUGUAAACAUUAAAUGAUUAAAUUUACCCAGAAUUGAUGGAGGUUACUUUUACUCCCAUCAGGUGGAAUAAAGGCUCAAAGCAGAGACUCAGCUCAAUUAGAAAAAAAUAGGAAAAUAAAAGAUGUAUCCUUUUGCACACCUGGUUACUUGUCUUAAAAAUCUGUAUCUGACAUAAAAAAGAGGGUUUGUUGUAUAUCUCUGUACUCUGUAUGUUGCUUAGAUAAAGCAACAUAUUGCCAAGAGAAAUCAUCUUUUUCAAUUCAGGAAUCACAAGUUUUCAUUUUCAAAUUCUAAAACUUUAUGCUUUUUGAUUAAAGAGAUAGUAACUUUACCUUUGACUGAGCAAUACCAUUUCCAGGAAUUUGUUCAAAGGAAAUCAAAACAAAUGUGCUGAAAAAUAAUAAG